GAUAAAGAACGCAGCGAAAUGCGAUAAGUAAUGUGAAUUGCAGAAUUCAGUGAAUCAUCGAAUCUUUGAACGCACAUUGCGCCCGCCAGUAUUCUGGCGAGCAUGCCUGUUCGAGCGUCAUUUCAACCAUCAAGCCCCAGGCUUGUGUUGGAGCCCUGCGGCUGCCGCAGCCUCCCAAAACCAGUGGCGGGCUCGCUAUCACACCGAGUGCAGUAGUUUACUCUUCGCUCAGGGCGUGUGGCGGGUGCUAGCCGUGAAACCCCCAACUUCUCAAGGUUGACCUCGGAUCAGGUAGGAAUACCCGCUGAACUUAAGCAUAUCAAUAAGCGGAGGA
rnacentral:misc_RNA from 1 species